AAUGCCCGAGACCGGCGCACGGGUGAGUAACGCGUAUGCAACCUACCUUCUACAGGGGGAUAGCCCAGGGAAACUUGGAUUAAUACCGCAUAGUUCCUGUAUCCUGCAUAGGAUUAAGGAUAAAGAUUUAUCGGUAGAAGAUGGGCAUGCGUGACAUUAGGUAGUUGGCGGGGUAACGGCCCACCAAGCCGACGAUGUCUAGGGGUUCUGAGAGGAUGAUCCCCCACACUGGUACUGAGACACGGACCAGACUCCUACGGGAGGCAGCAGUGAGGAAUAUUGGUCAAUGGGCGCAAGCCUGAACCAGCCAUCCCGCGUGAAGGAUGAAGGCCCUAUGGGUCGUAAACUUCUUUUAUAUGCCAAGAAAGGUGCCCACGCGUGGGUAUUUGACGGUAGUAUAUGAAUAAGCAUCGGCUAACUCCGUGCCAGCAGCCGCGGUAAUACGGAGGAUGCGAGCGUUAUCCGGAUUCAUUGGGUUUAAAGGGUGCGUAGGCGGUUCUUUAAGUCAGUGGUGAAAUCCUGCGGCUCAACCGUAGAACAGCCAUUGAUACUGAAGGACUUGAAUAUAAUUGAGGUAAGCGGAAUGAGUAGUGUAGCGGUGAAAUGCUUAGAUAUUACUCAGAACACCAAUUGCGAAGGCAGCUUACCAAGCUAUAAUUGACGCUGAGGCACGAAAGCGUGGGGAUCGAACAGGAUUAGAUACCCUGGUAGUCCACGCCGUAAACGAUGUUCACUCGCUGUUUGCGAUAUACAGUAAGCGGCCAAGCGAAAGCAUUAAGUGAACCACCUGGGGAGUACGU
rnacentral:rRNA from 1 species